rnacentral:rRNA from 1 species
CCAGACUCCUACGGGAGGCAGCAGUGGGGGAUAUUGCACAAUGGGGGGAACCCUGAUGCAGCGACGCCGCGUGGGUGAAGGAGCGUUUCGGCGCGUAAAGCCCUAUCGGCAGGGAAGAAGGAGGACGGUACCUGACUAAGAAGCCCCGGCUAACUACGUGCCAGCAGCCGCGGUAAUACGUAGGGGGCAAGCGUUAUCCGGAUUUACUGGGUGUAAAGGGAGCGUAGACGGUUAUGCAAGUCUGAAGUGAAAGCCCAAGGCUCAACCAUGGGACUGCUUUGGAAACUGUAAAACUGGAGUGCAGGAGAGGUAAGCGGAAUUCCUAGUGUAGCGGUGAAAUGCGUAGAGAUAUGGAGGAACACCGGUGGCGAAGGCGGCCUGCUGGACUGCAACUGACGUUGAGGCCCGAAAGCGUGGGGAGCAAACAGGAUUAGAUACCCUCGUAG